GAUGAUGAUCCCAAAGCCUUCUGGCGAUCUGUUUAUACAAGCCUCUAAGGGGGAUGGAAGAUAUUAUUUCUUUGAUCAGAUUAUGCGAUUGAAGGUUUUCAGUUUUCCUCGUAGGGCUUGUAGCUCAGUUGGUU
rnacentral:misc_RNA from 1 species